rnacentral:rRNA from 1 species
GUCCUUUAGAUAAUAAUUAUUUAAGGUCUAACCUGCCCAUUGAUAAGUUAAAAGGCCGCAGUAAUUUGACUGUGCAAAGGUAGCAUAAUCAUUAGUUUUUUAAUUAAAAGCUUGUAUGAAUGGUUGGACGAGAUAAAAUCUGUCUCUUUAUAAAAAAUAGAAUUUAAUUUUUAAGUUAAAAAGCUUAAAUUUUUGUAAAAGACGAGAAGACCCUAUAGAUCUUUAUAUAAUUUUUUUUAAUAUUAAUAAAGAAAAUUUUAUUUAUUAAAAUUAUUUUUAUUUUAUUGGGGUAAUAAAUAGAUUAAUUUAAUUCUUUUUUUUAAUACAAUAAUUAUUGACUAUAUGAUCCAUUAUUAAUGAUUAUAAGAUUAAGUUACCUUAGGGAUAACAGCGUAAUUUUUUUAGAGAGUUCUUAUCAAUAAAAAAGUUUGCGACCUCGAUGUUGGAUUAAAAGUAAUUCUAGGUGCAGAAGUUUAGAAUUUUGGUCUGUUCGACCAUUAAAUUUUUACA